AGCUAGGAAGUUUCUCAAGGGCCUUCGUGCCAAAAUCUAUGACUGGGUCGCAAUGUUAAAACUCAACUCAUAUGCAGAGGUGCCCAAACAUGCCCAAUCGGCUGAAGAUCUCAUCUCGACCAAGCACCAAAGCAUUGCCCGAGUUAGUACCCAACAACAACCCCAACAGCUUAGAAGGAGAUUACCUGACCCAAUAAGUAGCCACCCUGAUAAACGAACUAAAGUUGCAUUCCCCCCUGCUUUGCCUCCACCUAUAGUUCAACCUAACCGAUCUAAUCAACCCUGUCAGCAUUGUGGUCAUUUGCAUGGUGACUUGACCUCUCGGCGUAUCAAUAACACCUGUUAUUGGCACGAAAGCACCCAACAUCUUAUAAAGGAUUGCCCCCAGUGACCAAAGGAUGUAGCCUGGCCUAUAGCACAAGGUCGCGUGUACCACUUGGAUGAACUUAGUGCCCUUCCUACUCCUGUUCUUAUCUAGGGUAUGCUUUUUAUUCAUGACACUUUUGUCAAAGCUUUGAUCGAUGCAGGGGCAACUCAUUCUUUUAUUUCCCGUACAUUUGCUUGUAAUUUUGAUUUUAGACCAGAACCUUUAGCAGAAACAUUAAUAGUAGAAACUCCCUCGAGGGGACUACUAGAGGCUUAUUGUUUAAAUAAAUAUUGUAGGAUAAAAGCUUCAAGAAUAAAGGUUAAUAUAAACAUGAUACUGUUAGAUUUUGUAGGAUUUGAUGUCAAAUUAGUAAUGAAUU
rnacentral:lncRNA from 1 species